rnacentral:rRNA from 1 species
GUGAGGAAUUUUGCGCAAUGGGGGCAACCCUGACGCAGCGACGCCGCGUGGAGGACGAAGUCUUUCGGGAUGUAAACUCCUGUCAGUGGGGACGAUAAUGACGGUACCCACAGAGGAAGCACCGGCUAACUCCGUGCCAGCAGCCGCGGUAAGACGGAGGGUGCAAGCGUUGUUCGGAAUUACUGGGCGUAAAGCGUAUGUAGGCGGCAAGUUAAGUUCAAUGUUAAAGCCCAUGGCUCAACCGAGGAGAUGCAUUGAAUACUGGCUAGCUAGAGGGUGUUAGAGGAAGACGGAAUUCCCAGUGUAGCGGUGAAAUGCGUAGAUAUUGGGAGGAACAUCGGUAGCGAAAGCGGUCUUCUGGGACAUACCUGACGCUGAGGUACGAAAGCGUGGGGAGCAAACGGGAUUAGAUACCCCAGUAGUCC